UACGAAGGGGGCUAGCGUUGCUCGGAAUCACUGGGCGUAAAGCGCACGUAGGCGGAUCUUUAAGUCAGGGGUGAAAUCCCAAGGCUCAACCUUGGAACUGCCUUUGAUACUGGGGAUCUCGAGUCCGGAAGAGGUGAGUGGAACUGCGAGUGUAGAGGUGAAAUGCGUAGAUAUCUGGAGGAACACCGGUGGCGAAGGCGGCAUUCUGGACCGAUAUUGACGCUGAGGAGCGAAAGCCAGGGGAGCAAACGGG
rnacentral:rRNA from 1 species